CUUGCCCUGUCCAAAAAAAAUAAAAAUAAAAAAUAUAUUCACCAAAUUAUCAUUUUUCCACACAAAGAAAUCCACCAUGACUACCACUGAUCCACAUCUAUUUCAAUUCUAAGUCAGCAAACUCUCCGAGCAAUGACCGCCACUGGACAUCUACAGAGCAAAUGAUCCACCCACAGAGACAAAUCCACACACCCACACAAAAAAACCACACACACACACUGUCGGUCGGAUCAAAGCCCUAACCUGUGAAAAACGUUUUUCCCUCUUUCCAUCAAGCCUCUUUCAGUUGGCCAUUGGAGCAAACCCUAACCCCUAAAGAAGAAACCCUAAGUCUGGAUCCUCCAUUAGAGACACGAAGGUGUGUUCGGCGAUUUGCAGACGACCGCUGCUGUUAGCAAGCCCUAAGCCCAGACAACUUAGAGUUCAACUCAGAGUCUCGAAUCCUCCACUGGAGCAGAAUAGAAGUGGUAGAAAUCACUGUGUUCUAAUGCAUUAUCAUUCUUCGCAGGCUGAUUCCCCUCACAAAAGCAGCCCGAGUUUGGUAUUUAUGAACUACAAAGAGAAGGAAGAAAAGAAGAUAAAAAUGAAUGCACAACCAUGAGCUUAUUCAUUCAUUUUCUUCGGUCAUUAGGGAGACAUUACAGUUCAUUUCAGCUUGAACUUAGUUUAUAUCUCAAUUUACUUGAUAUACGUGAGAUAUAUGUGGCAGUUUCUCUAUAGUCCGGGCAUGCAUGGUUUUGUCCAGGUAUGUAAGAUCGAUCUUCCCUUUCUCGUACAUAGGGCCCAGAGGCCCCAGAUUUGAUAUUUUUUUGUUGCUUCUCCCAAAUCUUUGAAAGUGCUCUGAACUACCAUUUCUCUUCUUCUACUUUCUUCAAUCAUAGAGGUCAGAUCUCUAACCCAGGCACUUAUCCCGAAAAUAACCUAACUCAGCCAAAUAAGAGCUUAAUUGAAGCAAUUCUGGGAUUAAACAAAGAAAUGAGCAAAGUGGAUAAAGAAGGAAGCAAAUGAAGCCAAAGGUGGGAAGCAGCAAAAUUCGAUCGAUCCAAGUUCAAGGUUCGAUCGAUCGAAUAAUGAUCGAUCUCAGCACUUCAAGAUAGAUCUAAGCCUUGACCCAAAAGCAUGAAGUCCAAAAAGUUCGAUCGAUCCAACACCACCCUUCGAUCAAUCGAACACUUUUGUCCUUAUUUAUAAGAUUGAUCCUAUCCACAGCUGUAUGACCCACUAACCACUUUUGUCUUUUUCCCAAAAAUAUCUCCAAAAAUAUCUUGAAUUUGUCUUUUCCCAAAAAGCUCAACCAGUUGGAUCGAUCCAGCCUAAGUUUGAUGGAUCUCAGCCAGUUCGAUCGAUCCAAGUCCAAGGUUUGAUCGAUCGAACUUCCUUUAGUGCGAAAAAGUUAAAUUUCCAUCCAUUGAAAGUUGUCCUUUAUCCAAUCAUUAGAGAAGAUUGUGUGCACGACCACAGCUCAUUUUGGGUGUCAUUUUGACCUACCUAUAUAAGGAUAAGGAUUGCUUUUAACAAAAGGAGGAGCCAAUAUCAUUUUCAUAUUAUCUCUUGGAGAGGAAGCUUAGAAGGGAGGAGGCUAGAGACACCAUUGGAGGUUCUUCAUCAACGAGGAGCAGAUUUCAACCAUGGAGUUAGCCCUUGAGGGUUGGAGCAACAUCACCAUGAGUGGCUAAACAUCCUCUUGGGGCUAGAGUUAGCCCCAAGCAUGCUUUCUAUAUCUUAAUCUUGUAUAUUAUUGAGAGAUUACUGUUAUAAUUAAUGUUUUGACACAUUUAUACAUAUAGAUCUUGUUUAUUCAAUGAUUUAUGUGGUUUUAUAUUUCCAA